GCCGCGGUGGCACAAUCUGGUACUGCGCAAGCCUGGAAAGCUUGUUUCCGCAAGGAUUUCCCGGUUCAAAUCCGGGCCGCGGCG
rfam:Candidatus Woesearchaeota archaeon CG1_02_57_44 cg1_0.2_scaffold_262_c, whole genome shotgun sequence.